GACGAACGCUGGCGGCGUGCUUAACAUAUGCAAGUCGAACGGUGAUCUUGAGAGCUUGCUCUUGGGUGAUCAGUGGCGAACGGGUGAGUAACACGUGAGUAACCUGCCCCUGACUCUGGAAUAACUUCGGGAAACCGAAGCUAAUACCGGAUAUGACACAGAGCCGCAUGGUUUCUGUGUGGAAAGUUUUCGGUUGGGGAGUGGACUCGCGGCCUAUCAGCUUGUUGGUGAGGUAAUGGCUCACCAAGGCGACGACGGGUAGCCGGCCUGAGAGGGCGACCGGCCACACUGGGACUGAGACACGGCCCAGACUCCUACGGGAGGCAGCAGUGGGGGAAUAUUGCACAAUGGGCGAAAGCCUGAUGCAGCGACGCCGCGUGAGGGAUGAAGGCC
rnacentral:rRNA from 1 species